rnacentral:rRNA from 1 species
AGGAACCUGCCUCAAAGAGGGGGACAACAGUUGGCAACGACUGCUAAUACCGCAUAAGCCCACGGCUCGGCAUCGAGCAGGGGGAAAAGGAGCAAUCCGCUUUGAGAUGGCCUCGCGUCCGAUUAGCUAGUUGGUGAGGUAAUGGCCCACCAAGGCGACGAUCGGUAGCCGGACUGAGAGGUUGAACGGCCACAUUGGGACUGAGACACGGCCCAGACUCCUACGGGAGGCAGCAGUGGGGAAUAUUGCACAAUGGGGGAAACCCUGAUGCAGCGACGCCGCGUGGAGGAAGAAGGUCUUCGGAUUGUAAACUCCUGUUGUUGAGGAAGAUAAUGACGGUACUCAACAAGGAAGUGACGGCUAACUACGUGCCAGCAGCCGCGGUAAAACGUAGGUCACAAGCGUUGUCCGGAAUUACUGGGUGUAAAGGGAGCGCAGGCGGGAGAACAAGUUGGAAGUGAAAUCCAUGGGCUCAACCCAUGAACUGCUUUCAAAACUGUUUUUCUUGAGUAGUGCAGAGGUAGGCGGAAUUCCCGGUGUAGCGGUGGAAUGCGUAGAUAUCGGGAGGAACACCAGUGGCGAAGGCGGCCUACUGGGCACCAACUGACGCUGAGGCUCGAAAGUGUGGGUAGCAAACAGGAUUAGAUACCCUGGUAGUCCACACCGUAAACGAUGAUUACUAGGUGUUGGAGGAUUGACCCCUUCAGUGCCGCAG